UGUGGCUCAGUGGUAGAGCACUUGCCUAGUAUGCAUGAAGCCCUGGGUUUGAGCUCCAACCCUGCA
rnacentral:tRNA from 1 species